UGGGGAAUAUUGCACAAUGGGGGAAACCCUGAUGCAGCGACGCCGCGUGAACGAAGAAGGUAUUCGUAUCGUAAAGUUCUGUCCUAUGGGAAGAUAAUGACAGUACCAUAGAAGAAAGCUCCGGCUAAAUACGUGCCAGCAGCCGCGGUAAUACGUAUGGAGCGAGCGUUGUCCGGAAUUAUUGGGCGUAAAGGGUACGCAGGCGGUUUAAUAAGUCGAAUGUUAAAGAUCGGGGCUCAACCCCGUAAAGCAUUGGAAACUGAUAAACUUGAGGAGUGGAGAGGAAAGUGGAAUUCCUAGUGUAGUUGUGAAAUACGUAGAUAUUAGGAAGAAUACCAGUAGCGAAGGCGACUUUCUGGACACAAACUGACGCUGAGGUACGAAAGCGUGGGGAGCAAACAGG
rnacentral:rRNA from 1 species